rnacentral:rRNA from 1 species
GAUCAUGGCUAAGGAUGAACGCUAGCUACAGGCUUAACACAUGCAAGUCGAGGGGAAACGACAUCGAAAGCUUGCUUUUGAUGGGCGUCGACCGGCGCACGGGUGAGUAACGCGUAUCCAACCUGCCCACCACUUGGGGAUAACCUUGCGAAAGUAAGACUAAUACCCAAUGACAUACCACGAAGACAUCUGAAUGGGAUUAAAGAUUUAUCGGUGAUGGAUGGGGAUGCGUCUGAUUAG